rnacentral:rRNA from 1 species
GUCCAGACUCCUACGGGAGGCAGCGGUGGGGAAUAUUGGGCAAUGGGCGCAAGCCUGACCCAGCAACGCCGCGUGAAGGAAGAAGGCCCUCGGGUUGUAAACUUCUUUUAUUCGGGACGAAACAAAUGACGGUACCGAAUGAAUAAGCCACGGCUAACUACGUGCCAGCAGCCGCGGUAAUACGUAGGUGGCAAGCGUUAUCCGGAUUUACUGGGUGUAAAGGGCGUGUAGGCGGGAGAGCAAGUCAGACGUGAAAUUCCAGGGCUCAACCCUGGAACUGCGUUUGAAACUGUUCUUCUUGAGUGAUGGAGAGGCAGGCGGAAUUCCACGUGUAGCAGUGAAAUGCGUAGAUAUGUGGAAGAACACCGAUGGCGAAGGCAGCCUCCUGGGACGCAACUGACGCUCAUACACGAAAGCGUGGGGAGCAAACAGGAUUAGAUACCCUUGUA